AACGAACGCUGGCGGCAUGCCUAACACAUGCAAGUCGAACGAGACCUUCGGGUCUAGUGGCGCACGGGUGCGUAACGCGUGGGAACCUGCCCUUAGGUUCGGACUAACUCCCCGACAGGGGUGCUAAUACCGGAUAAUGUCUUCGGACCAAAGAUUUAUCGCCUUUGGUUGGGCCCGCGUUGGAUUAGCUAGUUGGUAGGGUAAAAGCCUACCAAGGCGACGAUCCAUAGCUGGUCUGAGAGGAUGAUCAGCCACACUGGGACUGAGACACGGCCCAGACUCCUACGGGAAGCAGCAGUGGGGAAUAUUGGACAAUGGGCGAAAGCCUGAUCCAGCAAGGCCGCGUGAGUGAUGAAGGCCUUAGGGUUGUAAAGCUCUUUUACCCGGGAUGAUAAUGACAGUACCGGGAGAAUAAGCUCCGGCUAACUCCGUG
rnacentral:rRNA from 1 species